GGGGAUGUAGCUCAGAUGGCAGAGCGCUCGCUUAGCAUGCGAGAGGUACGGGGAUUGAUACCCUGCAUCUCCA
rnacentral:tRNA from 1 species